UUUAGCUUCUUCUCAGAAUUCAGAUUUCAGAAAUACCUCCAAACGUCGAAAAUGGCGGACACUGAUAUUUUUUUUGGUGAAGAUUCUCUUGAUCAAUUUAUGGCUUUCGACAAUGAUGCUGCCAUAAAUCUGGACAGGUCUCUCUCUCUUUCUCUUCCCCUUAUGACAGUCAUAGCUUUGUUUGGCUCCUUUGAUUUUUGUUUUGGCCAUCAAUUUCAUUAAGCAAUCCAAUGUUGCUCGCAGAAUCCUAAUUUUGUGUGUUUACCACUUGAAUGAAAAACCAAAUGAAAGGUUACCACUUUAUACUUUCUAUCACUCCUAUAUAUCUCUAUCAACUUAAAUUUUCUUUUUUGCAAGCAUGGAAGAAAAUCCGUUGAUCUGUGUUUAUGUCGUCAAGAUUCCACAUACUUGAGCUCUGCUCUUCUGUGCAACGCUUAAGCUGCAAAAAAUGCCAACUUGCAACCACUUUGCUCUCAAAAGAGCCAUAAGUACUGCUAAGGCGUUUCCACUUGAUUUUCCCUGGUCGUCGGCCGCAACAAACUAGGCCUAAACCCUCCUUCUAACAACUUCUCCACUUCCUCAAACUGAAGCCCUUUGGUCUCAGGCACAAGCAGCCAGAUGAAGAACAGCCCGAUUGCCGAGGACCCUGCAAAUAGAAGGAAUGUUCCUGAUGACCCGACCGCGUUUGUAAGUGUCAGGAACGUCUCACUCACGACGAGAUUCGACAUCCAGUUUGAGACUGCAGCGAUUCCUCCCGCAAGCCCUCUGUAGCGAAGAGGAUAGAUCUCUGAGUUGACAAUCCAUGGAACUGUGCCCAUACCGGGAGCGUACACAAUGAUGUAGAGCCCGAGGAAGACGAUGGCCAGGUACCCGAACUUGCUGGGGCAUCCGUCUUUGAAGAAGGUUCGGCCUUUAGAGUGGCACAAUGCCUUCAUAUCAGCAGACUGAACAACGCAGGCUCCAGUUCCAGUUGGAGGGAGGAGCACGGGAGGCUGUGAAUGGGGCAAAUGCGGGACAAGUAGCAUUUCGAGCAAAAUUUCUGGAGUCUCUCUUAUCGAUCUUGGGAGCGUGGUUUGAGGCUUCAUUGAAGACGGCAGCCAAUAUGAUAAGACAAGAUAUGAUCCCGAACAUGGAAACGAUCAUAAGCUUGCGCCGACCAUAACGGUCUACAAACAUCAUGCUUACUACCGACCCCACUGCAUUGAGACCGGAGGUUAUGAGAGCAAGAGCCAUGGCUGUCUUGUUGGAUGCAUAACCUGCAAACUGCAGAAUAGUGGGACUGUAGUACAUGACAGUGUUGAUUCCCACAAACUGCUGGGCGACCUGGACGGUGAUACCUGCGGCCAGGCCGUGGCGGACAACUGGAUUCGAGAGAGCGCCUCUGAGUUUAUCGGAGAAGGUAUGGCCGAUAAUAUCCUCGUCGGCCGUCUCUGCCAGGACAGACUCCUUGAGUGCAGCUAUCUCCGCUUCAACCAUCUCUGCCGGGUAUAUUCUCUCGAGGAUGUCUCUUGACUCGGCUUUCCUAUCAUUUCUGUAGAGCCACCGCGGAGACUCUGGUAGCGUUAGCAUGAGACAGAACUGAAUGAUUGCCGGAAUCGCCGAGACUCCCAACAUCCACCUCCAUGUACCCGGUGUCUGUGUGAGUAAUCAGUAAGUUAGAGACUUUUCAAAUCUUAAAGAAAAAUCAUUUUGUGAGUUAGUUUGGUUGGUUACAUGGACAAAGGCGAGGUUGAUGAGAUAAGACAGAAACUGUCCUCCGGUGAUGAGAAGUCCGUUGGUGCUGACCAAGGCGCCUCUGAUUCUCGCAGGAGACAUCUCAGAUAUGUAAAGUGGUGAGGUCAUGGAAGCCAUACCAACCCCAAAACCCACUAAGAGUCUGCCGAGGAUGAUGACCCACGGCGCAUGAGCGACCACCAUCACCAGGGCACCCACCAGGAAGAGCACAUCGGCAAUAAGAACGGACGUCCUCCUACCAAACUUAUCGUUGUACCAUCCUCCUAUAGCUGCUCCAACAAUGGCUCCAGCCACGGUCAUGCUCACAAUGAUCUCCUGGAGCCAUGUCUUGUUGUCUACGUCACCAAACUCCUCUUUUAUGUAGAGAAGAGCCCCUGCGAUGACUCCCGUGUUGUACCCGAAGAGGAGUCCUCCAAUACCAGCCGAGAGAGCCAGCCGCAUAAUGUAAGGGGUCUCCCAUGUUGUCGUCCACACCUCUGUGAAAUUUAUCUCCUCUGUUUUUGCUGCUUCUUCCCCCAUCUCUCUGAGUAAAUACCUAAGUGGUUAUGAAAGCUCUAAUUAAGUUUUCUCAAACCUUGCGCUGAUCGAUAAAUGAUCGAUAAAUGUUUACACGUCCAGAAAAGAUGUCGUGAAGAAUGAAGUUACAAGCAUUGAAACUUGAAA